AUACGGAGGGGGCUAGCGUUGUUCGGAAUUACUGGGCGUAAAGCGCGCGUAGGCGGUUUAUCAAGUUAGACGUGAAAGCCCUGGGCUCAACCCAGGAACUGCGUUUGAUACUGGUUGACUAGAGGCCGGGAGAGGGUAGUGGAAUUCCCAGUGUAGAGGUGAAAUUCGUAGAUCUUGGGAAGAACACCGGCGGCGAAGGCGGCUCUCUGGUCCGGUUCUGACGCUGAGGCGCGAAAGCGUGGGGAGCAAACAGGAUUAGAAACCCCAGUAGUCC
rnacentral:rRNA from 1 species